rnacentral:lncRNA from 1 species
GUCCUUGAACAGCUUGUGGGCACCGGAAUCUUGGGACAUUCAAUGGCCGCAUCUGUGCAGAUUCUUGGACUAACUUGAAUCAUGAAGUUCUGAUAUCAAAAAUGACAAGUGAAGAAGACAGCAUACAUUUGACAAAGAUGGUGAUCUGAAUCCUGAUGGAGUAAGAGCUGACAAAGGAGAGGUCAGAAAGUCUGUCUCUGCCAAGCCACAGAAUUUGAUGCGCCAGUCAAAAGAACUUGGCAGCAAAAUAUAAGGAAGCUAUAGGGACCCUGUGAGGUGUCACCCACACAUAGAAGAUUGGGUACGGAAAUUUCUCUCCAGUCCUGACACGAAGGGAUGCGAAUAUGUUUGACGUCUUCACUCCCAGGAAUGAAGCCAAACACUUUCUUGAUUCUAUGUCUGAUAAGAAGUCGGGAAUGCUCCUCGGCAGCUUGCUUGAAGAGCAUUCUCUCAUUGUGGAGGUGGUUGGCCCAGUAGUGAUGCUGCAGAGAGGUGAGGGGAGAGCAACAUCUCGCCAGACAUUUAGAGACCAGCUAGGAAUGGGAAGCGUGGAGAAGUACAACUAAACAACAACAACA